rnacentral:rRNA from 1 species
UACAGAGGGUGCAAGCGUUAAUCGGAAUGACUGGGCGUAAAGGGCCUGUAGGUGGUUGAAUAAGUUUGAUGUGAAAGCCCUGGGCUUAACCUGGGAAUGGCGUUGAAGACUGAUUGACUAGAGUCGGACAGAGGGCCGUGGAAUUUCCGGUGUAGCAGUGAAAUGCGUAGAGAUCGGAAAGAACAUCGGUGGCGAAGGCGGCGGCCUGGGUCCAGACUGACACUGAGGGGCGAAAGCGUGGGGAGCAAACAGG